ensembl:lncRNA
CUACUUUUAAAACCAAUAAUUCUCCAUCUCCUGAAAUCAUCCCCAAGAGAGUGUGAGAGGCCUGAUAAAAAUCACAUCAUGUGUCUCCUAUCCUCCCUUCCUUCUCUCCCACCCUUAUCUCUCUCUCAUACACUCAAAUAAAGUCAGGUUAGUAGAAAAGCUAUGUGAUCUAAUGGAUAGAGAGAUGCUUUAAAUAAAAUCUGUUUUUAAGUCUCACCAGUGACUAUGGGCUGAAUAUAUAUGUGAAAUUUCAUGUCCUUAAUUAUUAUGUGGAUCCACUUCUCUCUUCCCUAGAGCUUGCUUCCCAGAAUGCCUAUCCACAUGCCAAAAGCUGAUACAAAGCCUAGAGACAGACACAAUCCUUAAUCAAUGAUGAAAACUUUCCUUUGUUCUUCCCUUCAUAUGCACCACAGUAAUAAAAGAUCUUUCUUUUCUCAAAUUUCUCAUAAAAUAUCACAUCCAUCUUAAACCACUAUCAUUUUUAGGUCUUCUUGUUUUAUUAUAUUAUUAUUACCUAUUUAGGACAGGUCAAACUACAUUCACUAGUUGGUGUUCUCCAGAGUCACGGCCAGUUUUAAUCUUUUGUCUCUCCAAGCAACUAGCACAGUGCUUUAGAUGUCAUAAAUGGUUCUAUCUCUCCAGAUUCCUUCCCAUGUGCAGGGCUCAAGGGUCAAAGGUCAAACUAGAAAAAACAGUUCCAUGACAGUUGGGAAUCUCUCCUGGAGACAGGGCCAAGGGUGGAACUGACAAGAAUGGGGGGUUUGAUCCAGAAGGAAUGGGUUAAGCUGAAGAUGACACCAUCAGGGAAAUACAUUUCCAGCAGCCCCUGGACCUCUUGUAUCCUCUUAGACUGCACCAAUGUUACACCAGAUUUAAAGAAGUCAGUCUGGAACCUGAUGGCCACAAGUACUCUAUUUUCCAUUAUCCUGACCUUUGCCUUGGGAUUGGAUUACACUUAUCUGCUUCCUCCGAUCAAAGGCCGCAAAUACAUCUUUAGCUUUAUCAGCUUCCUUUCAGGAACCUGCCUGCUCUCAGCAAUCAUACUGUACUACCAAGACCUGAAGAACAAUAUCGAGAAACAAUACGUUGAUUUCAAAGUCACCUGGGUUUUUCAUUCAAAUUAUAUAAUUAUCUUUUUGUAUUAUGCCUGUGGGGUCCUCUGUGUUUGGAACCUACUGACCAAGUUCUUUCUAAACCUCCAAGAGUUGUCCAAACGAUCUGUAAUAACCAAGAAAGUGGACAUCAGAGAUGAAGCAACAAAAAGUACAAGUUUUCUUAGCAUAGUCCAAUCUCAAAACUUUGGCAAAAUAAAUAAGUCUACUGCACGUACCCAAAUCUCCCAAGUGUCCUGGAAUUUCUAGAUUUGGGGCUGCUAUAGAAGUAUAUCUUUAUGCCUAUGUUUGUAUUUCUGCUGACCCAUAUAUGUGUAAUUAGAUGUUAUAUGUAUACACUAUUUAUUGUAGGUUUGACCAUGUGUAUUAUAUAUGACUAAGACAGUGAAGGACUAUGUACAGAAGUGCCAGGCAAUGAUACUAUUUAACCCUGUAUUAAAUAAAAGAGAUUUUUCUCUGGUCA